AGAGUUUGAUCAUGGCUCAGAUUGAACGCUGGCGGCAGGCCUAACACAUGCAAGUCGAGCGAGAAAGCCCUUCGGGGUGAGUACAGCGGCGGACGGGUGAGUAACGCGUGGGAAUCUGCCCAGUAGUGGGGGACAACAGCCGGAAACGGCUGCUAAUACCGCAUACGCCCUACGGGGGAAAGCAGGGGAUCUUCGGACCUUGCGCUAUUGGAUGAGCCCGCGUCAGAUUAGCUUGUUGGUGGGGUAAUGGCCUACCAAGGCGACGAUCUGUAGCUGGUCUGAGAGGAUGAUCAGCCACAUCGGGACUGAGACACGGCCCGAACUCCUACGGGAGGCAGCAGUGGGGAAUAUUGGACAAUGGGGGCAACCCUGAUCCAGCCAUACCGCGUGUGUGAAGAAGGCCUUCGGGUUGUAAAGCACUUUCAGCGAGGAGGAAAGCCUGAUGGCUAAUACCCAUCGGGGGUGACGUUACUCGCAGAAGAAGCACCGGCUAACUCCGUGCCAGCAGCCGCGGUAAUACGGAGGGUGCAAGCGUUAAUCGGAAUUACUGGGCGUAAAGCGCACGUAGGCGGCGAGUUAAGCUAGCUGUGAAAGCCCCGGGCUCAACCUGGGAACUGCAGUUAGAACUGGCUAGCUAGAGUACGGUAGAGGAGUGUGGAAUUUCCUGUGUAGCGGUGAAAUGCGUAGAUAUAGGAAAGGAACAUCAGUGGCGAAAGGCGACACUCUGGACUGAUACCGACGCUGAGGUGCGAAAGCGUGGGGAGCAAACAGGGAUUAGAUACCCUGGUAGUCCACGCCGUAAACGAUGUCUACUAGCCGUUGGGAGCCUUGAGCUCUUAGUGGCGCAGCUAACGCACUAAGUAGACCGCCUGGGGAGUACGGCCGCAAGGUUAAAACUCAAAUGAAUUGACGGGGGCCCGCACAAGCGGUGGAGCAUGUGGUUUAAUUCGACGCAACGCGAAGAACCUUACCAGGCCUUGACAUCCUUGGAACUUAGCAGAGAUGCUUUGGUGCCUUCGGGAGCCAAGUGACAGGUGCUGCAUGGCUGUCGUCAGCUCGUGUCGUGAGAUGUUGGGUUAAGUCCCGUAACGAGCGCAACCCUUGUCCUUAGUUGCCAGCACGUAAUGGUGGGAACUCUAAGGAGACUGCCGGUGACAAACCGGAGGAAGGUGGGGACGACGUCAAGUCAUCAUGGCCCUUACGGCCUGGGCUACACACGUGCUACAAUGGGCGGUACAAAGGGUUGCCAAUCCGCGAGGUGGAGCUAAUCCCGAAAAACCGUUCGUAGUCCGGAUUGGAGUCUGCAACUCGACUCCAUGAAGUCGGAAUCGCUAGUAAUCGUGAAUCAGAAUGUCACGGUGAAUACGUUCCCGGGCCUUGUACACACCGCCCGUCACACCAUGGGAGUGGGUUGCACCAGAAGUGGCUAGUCUAACUUUCGAGAGGACGGUCACCACGGUGUGAUUCAUGACUGGGGUGAAGUCGUAAUCAAGUACCCUAGGGGAACCUGCGGCUGGAU
rnacentral:rRNA from 1 species